rnacentral:lncRNA from 1 species
UGGGGGGCUGGGCUCGGGGAAGAAGGGGUGGCAGGGUGCAGGCACACUUGCUGCUGUGGGGUCUGAUCUGUUUCUCACUCUGCCCCACACCCACUGGGGAGGGGUUACUGCUUUCCCUCCCUGGGCCUCAGUUUCCCCUCUGUGGGGAAAUGUUUUCUCCACAGUACCCUGUUAGCACACAGUAGGCCCUCAGGAUGCACUUGCUGGGUGGAUUUCUCCGAUGGGUGAUGGAGGAAGGGUCUGUCACUGCAGCUGCCUGUGGGAUCCUGAGUGGGGCUCUAGCUUUUCUGGGGUUGGGGCUCCAGGUGUGAAGUCAGGCAUAGACCCAGAAGGCUCUCUGUGUUCCCAGGGGAAAGGGACAGGCGGCUCCCAGGGAAUCAGUAGCACUCAUGUGAGUCC